GGUGUGCAUAUCAAUAAGCGGAGGAAAAGAAACCAACAGGGAUUGCCUUAGUAACGGCGAGUGAAGCGGCAAAAGCUCAAAUUUGAAAUCUGGCACCUUCGGUGUCCGAGUUGUAAUUUGAAGAAGGUAACUUUGGAGUUGGCUCUUGUCUAUGUUCCUUGGAACAGGACGUCACAGAGGGUGAGAAUCCCGUGCGAUGAGAUGCCCAAUUCUAUGUAAAGUGCUUUCGAAGAGUCGAGUUGUUUGGGAAUGCAGCUCUAAGUGGGUGGUAAAUUCCAUCUAAAGCUAAAUAUUGGCGAGAGACCGAUAGCGAACAAGUACAGUGAUGGAAAGAUGAAAAGAACUUUGAAAAGAGAGUGAAAAAGUACGUGAAAUUGUUGAAAGGGAAGGGCUUGAGAUCAGACUUGGUAUUUUGCGAUCCUUUCCUUCUUGGUUGGGUUCCUCGCAGCUUACUGGGCCAGCAUCGGUUUGGAUGGUAGGAUAAUGACUAAGGAAUGUGGCUCUACUUCGGUGGAGUGUUAUAGCCUUGGUUGAUACUGCCUGUCUAGACCGAGGACUGCGUCUUUGACUAGGAUGCUGGCAUAAUGAUCUUAAGCCACCCGUCUUGAAACAACAGAACCAA
rnacentral:rRNA from 1 species